AGUGAAAUUACUGGGUCAUAUGGUAACUUUAUUUUAACGUUUUGAGGAACUGUCAAACUGUUUUCCAAAAUGGCUGUACCAUUUUACAUUCCCACCAGCAAU
rnacentral:pre_miRNA from 1 species